rnacentral:ncRNA from 2 species
UGAGUAGCACAGACAAUCGCGGCUGCAAAUGCCGAAAGGCUGCAGGUGAGGAAAGUCCGGGCUUCAUAGGGCAGGAUGCCGGAUAACGUCCGGUGGAGGUGACUCCCAGGCCAGUGCAACAGAAAAUAACCGCCUGUUUAUGCAGGUAAGGGUGAAAAGGCGAGGUAAGAGCUCACCGCGCUUCUGGUAACAGAAGUGGCUGUGUAAACCCCAUCCGAAGCAAGACCGAACAGAAAGCAUACGGUUGCCCGCCGGCUUUCGGGUAGGUCGCUUGA